rnacentral:misc_RNA from 1 species
UUAUCUCCCGAGUCCAUUAAGGUUGAGUGCUUGAAAUGUCAGGCUGAAUUGGAUGAGUUUGUGCCUUAAUUUAUACGAACAUUGCUUCUUUUCGUAGCAAGUCCACGCAUUUGCUGUGCAGUGGGAGGAAUUGUUGUGAGCUUGGAUGGAUUUUGAGAUGACUGAGCAGGUUGGGUUGGUCGAGUCAUGAAUUGCUCAAGAGCAGCAGCAUAAGCCUGGCCUUUGAGGCUUCCCCUCAUCCUGCCUGUGGGCCGCCAGUUUUCUGUUGAUGCAAAUGCCCCCGAGGUUUCAGCCACUGGGACUGGCUGUACAGUCCCAACAGCACUCCUCCGCUCAACAGUUGUUCUAUUAUGCUGAGCACCCGUGUUAUGAGUCAAGGAGUAUCUUGCUCCAGAUGCUUGGAGUUGAACUGCCACAAAUGGCGGUGUUCUUGUCAUCUCGGACAUUGGUUGUGAAGGUGUCCUUUGGGGAGGUCGAUUGUUAUUUACAGUACCUGCCACUUGAUUGGCACUAACUCUUUGAUGAAACUGGAUUUGUGCCUCAACUGAAGGAUGGACCGUGUUUUGAGAUGGAAUUGUGGCUUUAGUAGUCCUUGUGCUAGAAAGAUAGGAAUACUGUGGAGCUUGGAACAUAUUUUGAGAGGGGCAUGUAGCAUUUGCCCCCAUGCUAGAAGAACUGCAAUGCUGUGUGAAUUGGUAGCAUGGAGGCAGUCUAUGGGAUUGGGAGCUGCUCGAAGCAAAUGGAACUUCUGUGGGACCAUUGAGAACCUGCUGGACUACUUGAUCAGAAACACGGCAACUUCCACUACCCUCCCAGUUCUGUGUCAAUAAAUUAUUUAGUGUCAAAGAUGAAGCCACAUCUGAGACUGGCAAAGAACUUACAGGC